GCCGGGCGUGGUGGCGGGCGCCUGUAGUCCCAGCUACUCGGAGGCUGAGGCGGGAGAAUGGCCUGAACCCGGGAGGUGGAGUUUGCAGUGAGCCGAGAUCGCGCCACUGCACUCCAGCCUGGGCAACAGAGCAAGACUCCGUCUCAA
rnacentral:SRP_RNA from 1 species